rnacentral:tRNA from 1 species
GGCUUGGUAGAAAAGUGGUUUUGCAGAGGCCUGCAAAGCCUUGGACGCCGGUUCGAUUCCGGCCUAAGCCUCCA